rnacentral:rRNA from 1 species
AUGAUUGGACGGGCCCUCCCGCCUGAGCGCCCUCUCCCGGAGCCUCCGCCUCCACGACCUCCGCCCCCGCCCCCUCCAUGGCCUCCACCUCCACCUCCGCCGUGUCCCCCGCCGCCGCCGCCGCGGCAGUGCGCGCCCUGGAGGUGCGCCGCGAGGCAGAGUAGCACCAGGCCCAGCGCGCACAGCAUCCUCGCCUCGCCCCUCAUGGCCGCCUGCCUGGCUCCCUUCGCCUGGCCACGCUACGUCGAUGGUCGGGUGCGCAAGCAAUCUCUCCGCUUGCGUCGUCCGUGGAUUCGCUUGCCGGUGCCGUGA